rfam:Branchiostoma floridae genomic scaffold BRAFLscaffold_94, whole genome shotgun sequence.
GUAUGUUCGUAGGUUGAUGGUGUUCAGCACCAGGGACAGGUGUGUUUGUGUGUGGUUGGUGUUCAGCACCAAGGACAGCUGUGUUUGUGU